AAAAUUUUUGUUUUUAAUUUUUUUCCCCAAAAGUCCUUAGUCCUUGAAACCCUAACCUAUUGUCAUUGUUUCACUCCUACUCACUCUUUCUCCUUCCUCAUUCGGCGGCAAGCAGAAAACUUCUCACCUUCUUCCCUUUGUUCAGGUUGAAAAAGAAUGUCUAUUAGGAGAUUUGAGUUCACAAUCGACACUCGUCGCCGCUUACAAAAUGUGCCUCUUCCAAUGCGUAUGAGUCGCCGGGUGAAAGAAAUGUGUACAAGGUCGAAUGAUAAUUGUGAGGUUAAAUUUCGCCUUCGUAGGGGAAGUGACCCAAAAACAUACAUUGUGCAUUUGAAAGAUACUACCUGGGGUGAUGGUCUUGUGGAAACUUUUUUAAGUGAAGGAUGGGGGGACUUUGUGAGCUCAAAUAACUUAAAAGUGGGAUUUUUUUUUCAAUAGAGGAUUUAGAGGAAUUGGUGUAUCGUGUUAGGAUCUGGCUUGAUGACAUUGAGUUAACAGGUGAAGAACCGAGAGUUGACGGGGGAACAGUGUACAAACCCCCUUCUUCAAGUUCCAGUUCACCAAAGGCUACAUGGACAAACCCACAAUUAACGUUCCGACUUCCUUCGCUCGAGCACAUUUUGGAGACCUCCAAGACCCCUAUGAUGUUCAAUUGUUCUUGUCUAAGACGCAUGAUGCAAAAAUGCAUAUUUAUUAUGAUCGCAAGGACAACAUUAUAGCUUGCUCCGUCAAGAAAGGUGUUACAGAAUUCAUUGACGUCGAAGGUGUUCAACUCGGUUAGAAGGUUUUGGUUGACUUGGUUCAAAUGUAUCCACCUGUUUUAAGUAUACGCUUUACUUGAACGACCAUCCUUAUGCUUCUCCAUGGUCUUUGUUAGAACAUUUUGUGCCUAUUCAAACAAUAUUUCGGCUAUUAGGUAAUAGUGUUUUGGGGUGUCAUCUUGAACUUAGUAUGUACUUCCUUAAAAACGCCUAGCUUAUUUUUAACUUUAAAUUUCCUAUGUUAUUAAACUUAAAGUAUCUGACUUAUUCUAGUAGGAGUACUAUAGUAGUAGAUUUGACAUGAUGUGUAAUAUUAAUGAUAAACUGCAAUGAGUGAUCUUUAGGAUAUCUUUUGAUGGA